GGGUUCGUAGCUCAAUGCCAGAGCUCCCGGCUCUUAACCGGGUGGAUCGGGGUUCAAGUCUCCGCGAGCCCACCA
rnacentral:tRNA from 1 species